CUUUUUCGACAUAUGAAUCAGUACAUAAACAACUGAACAAACUAAAUCAGAAAGUAUACAAUUCUUAGUGGUUGAUGAGGCAGAAACUAGAAUUAAGAAAUUAAAAUCAAAGACUUAUUCCCGCAACUUUGCCUCAAAUCAUAGGGGGGAUUGGGUCCCAAUCUUUUGCUUCUCACUGGUCACUGCCAUUGAAACUGAUGUUGACAUCCACUUCGUUGAGGCCAUAGCCAAUGA
rnacentral:lncRNA from 1 species